rnacentral:rRNA from 1 species
UACGUAGGGGGCGAGCGUUGUCCGGAUUUAUUGGGCGUAAAGAGCUCGUAGGCGGUUUGGCAAGUCGGGUGUGAAAACUCCGGCUCAACUCGGAGACGCCACUCGAUACUGCCAUGACUCGAGUCCGGUAGGGGAGUGCGGAAUUCCUGGUGUAGCGGUGAAAUGCGCAGAUAUCAGGAGGAACACCGGUGGCGAAGGCGGUUCUCUGGGCAUUACCUGACGUGAGGAGCGAAAGUGUGGGGAGCGAUCCGG